CCUACGGGAGGCAGCAGUGGGGGAUAUUGCACAAUGGGGGGAACCCUGAUGCAGCGACACCGCGUGGGUGAAGAAGCGCCUCGGCGCGUAAAGCCCUGUCAGCAGGGAAGAAAAUGACGGUACCUGAAGAAGAAGCCCCGGCGAACUACGUGCCAGCAGCCGCGGUAAUACGUAGGGGGCAAGCGUUAUCCGGAUUUACUGGGUGUAAAGGGGGCGCAGACGGCGAUGCAAGCCAGGAGUGAAAGCCCGGGGCCCAACCCCGGGACUGCUGUUGGAACUGGGUGGCUGGAGUGCAGUAGGGGCAGGCGGAAUUCCUGGUGUAGCGGUGAAAUGCGUAGAUAUCAGGAGGAACACCGGUUGCGAAGGCGGCCUGCUGGACUGCAACUGACGUUGAGGCCCGAAAGCGUGGGGAGCGAACAGGAUUAGAUACCCUUGUAGUC
rnacentral:rRNA from 1 species